ACGAACGCUGGCGGCAGGCCUAAUGCAUGCAAGUCGAGCGGUCCCUUCGGGGGCAGCGGCGGACGGGUGAGUAACGCGUGGGAACGUGCCCUUUGGUACGGAACAACUGAGGGAAACUUCAGCUAAUACCGUAUGUGCCCUUCGGGGGAAAGAUUUAUCGCCAUUGGAGCGGCCCGCGUUAGAUUAGCUAGUUGGUAGGGUAAAGGCCUACCAAGGCGACGAUCUAUAGCUGGUCUGAGAGGAUGAUCAGCCACACUGGGACUGAGACACGGCCCAGACUCCUACGGGAGGCAGCAGUAGGGAAUCUUGCGCAAUGGGCGAAAGCCUGACGCAGCCAUGCCGCGUGAAUGAUGAAGGUCUUAGGAUUGUAAAAUUCUUUCACCGGGGACGAUAAUGACGGUACCCGGAGAAGAAGCCCCGGCUAACUUCGUGCCAGCCGCCGCUGUAACAC
rnacentral:rRNA from 1 species